rnacentral:rRNA from 1 species
UACGGGGGGGGCAAGCGUUGUUCGGAAUUACUGGGCGUAAAGGGCUCGUAGGCGGCCAACUAAGUCAUACGUGAAAUCCCUCGGCUUAACCGGGGAACUGCGUCUGAUACUGGAUGGCUUGAGAUUGGGAGAGGGAUGCGGAAUUCCAGGUGUAGCGGUGAAAUUCGUAGAUAUUAGGAAGAACACCAGUGGCGAAGGCGGCUCACUGGUCCGGUACUGACGCUGAGGUGCGAAAGCGUGGGGAGCAAACAGG